rnacentral:rRNA from 1 species
AUGGGCUGUGUAUCAUCGAAGCAGUUCAGACGAGCUCCACCGCAUGAGGAUGCGGCUCUUCUGGCCAAAGAGACCACAUUUUCUUUGAAUGAAGUGGAGGCCCUCUACGAGUUGUUCAAAAAGAUUAGCUAUUCUAUAUUCAAGGAUGGGCUUAUUCACAAGGGUCAAUUUGCAAACUGCCAUUUUGUUCAACAGGAGGAGUUCCAACUUGCUCUCUUCAGGAACAGCAACCGGAAGAACCUUUUCGCUGAUCGGAUAUUUGAUCUGUUUGAUCUGAAGCGAAACGGUGUGAUUGAAUUCGAGGAGUUUGUUCGGUCCCUCCACAUUUUUCACCCGGAUACACCCAUGGCAGACAAGAUUGCAUUUGCAUUCAGGUUAUAUGACCUGCGAGGCACCGGCAGCAUUGAACGUGAAGAGUUGAAGGAAAUGGUACUUGCAAUCCUGAAUGAAUCGGACCUCCUUCUUUCUGAUGAUGCCGUCGAACAGAUUGUAGAUCAGACAUUCAAGCAGGCAGACCUGAACAGCGACGGGAGGAUAGAUCCCGACGAAUGGAAGGAGUUUGCAAGUAAGAAUCCAGCCUUGCUGAAGAACAUGACUCUCCCAUACCUAAAGGACAUAACCAUGUCAUUCCCCAGCUUUGUUGUCUACUCUGGAGCCGGCGACGAAGAGUUGUAG